GCCAAUCAUUCAUAAAGCUGGGCGAAAGGAGGAGGGCUCAUCCCAGCCCUCUUAUAGAAGUGCUCACUGAGAGUUCAGUGCUGAGUGCCUGGAACUGAGCUCACAUCAAGUUUCUGUGACCUCUUCUUACUGAGGACUGGAAAGGAUCCUUGGAUAUCCUCAAGCAUAGCAGUGGAGACAGUGACCUUUGAGGAUGUAGCUCUGAAGUUCACCCCAGAAGAGUGAGAUUUGCUGACUCCAUCCCAAAAGAAGCUCUACAGAGGAGUGAUGUGGGAAACAUAUAUGAAUAUUACUGCAACAAGAAGAAUAUGGAAUAAUUAGCAAAUUAAGGAAGAGGACAAAAAAUUUCUCAAGGAAUGUAAGAUGUGAUGAAGGCAAUUAUUUGAGAACUGAAGAGCAGCAAUAUAAAUGUAAUGAAAAUGUAGAGAGCUGCAGUGACUUCCAGUCCUUUCAGAAGCAUGAAAUGAGGAAGACUAUAGAGAGACCCAGUGAAUACGGGCAAUAUGAUGAGGAGAGUUCUGAUCUUAGUGAAAAAACUCACUCUGGGCAGAAAAGUUUUGUAGGUAACAAAAGUGUGAAAGCCCACCCAACACCUAACAGUGUUCAAACCCCCAAGACAAAACACAAUUUGGGAAACUUGUAUGUACAAAAACACUAUGAGAAUAAUUCUAUUUCUUCAUCCAAUAUUGAAAAACCUGUUAGAAAAUAUGGUAGAGAGAAACAUCAUAUAAAUGAAAAAUGUGCCAAAGCAUUAUCUCACAGUAAUUUCUUUAAAAAACAUAAGAAACUUCACACUGUAGAGCAACCAUAUGAAUGCAAACAAUGUGGGACAGCAUUCAGUAAACUCAGUGGCUGUCAAAGUAAUAAAAACAUUCACACUGGGGAUGUUUAAAAUUCCUCAUACAUUGUUGAUGCAUUGCAUUCAACAAAUGUGGGAAAAGUACAUGAUAGAAGAUAAAAGUACAUGCUUGUAAAGUACAUGAUAGAAUUCACACUGUGGAGAAACCCUUUUUAUGUAAGCAAUGUUGGAAAUCUUUGAGUCAAAAUAAUGACCUUAUUAAACAUGAAAGAAUUCAUACUGGGGAGAAACCAUUUGCAUGCAACAAAUGUGGGAAAUCUUUCAGUCAACAUAGUGACCUUAUUAAACAUGAAAGAAUUCACACUGGUGAGAAACCCUUUGCAUGUAACAAAUGUGGGAAAGAAUUCAGGACAGCCUCUGCUUGUAAAGCACAUGAUAGAAUUCACACUGGGGAGAAACCCUUUGUAUGUAAGCAAUGUGGGAAUUCUUUCAGUCAAAAUAGUGACUUUAUUAAACAUGAAAGAAUUCACACAGGGGAUAAACCCUAAAUAUGCAACAAAUGUGGGAAAGCAUUCAGUACAGCCUCUGCUUGUAAAGUACAUGAUAGAAUUCACACUGGGUAGAAACCCUUUGUAUGUAAGCAAUGUGGGAAAUCCUUCAGUCAAAAGUCUAACCUUAUUACACAUGAAAGAAUUCACACAGGGGAUAAACCUAAUGUAUGCAACAAAUGUGGGAAAGCAUUCAGUAGGGCCUCUGCUUGUAAAGCACAUGACAGAAUUCACUCUGGGGAGAAACCCUUUGUAUGUAAGCAAUGUGGGAAAUCUUUCAGUCAAAAUAGUGGCUCUAUUAAUCAUGAGAGCUCACACUGGGGAGAAACACUUUGCAUGCAACAAAUGUGGGAAAGCAUUCAGGACAGCCUCUGCUUGUAAGGCACAUGAUAGAAUUCACACUGGGGAGAAACCUUUGUAUGUAAGCAAUGUGGGAAAUCUUUCUGUCAAAGCAGUCACCUUAUUAUUCUUGAAAGAACUCACACUGCAUAGAACAUCUAUGGUACAACCAAUAUGCCAAAAUAUUCAGCAUGCAGAAGUGCUGAAAAUAAACCCUUUCCAUUGAUGUAAGCAAUUUGUGAUGUAUUUUAGCUAUAAUGGUAGCUUUUUUGUGUAGAAAAUAAUUCACUCUAUAAAAAUCCCUAUCUAUAUGAGAAAUGAGUAAAUGGAUUUGUUGAUACAUUCUCACUUUAUAACAUCAAAUAUCCCACAAUGGGAAAAAAUCCUAUGAACAUAAGGAAUAUAGGAAGACUCCCCAUACCAUUGAGAUUGCCAAUAAAAUUAAGAACUCCCUCUGUGUAGUAAUGCUAUGCAUUUGAAGAAUGGUAAAUUGUAUGUAGCACCCAAAAAUGCCAUAGGGAAAUUUUGCACACAAGGAAGAUAUCUAUGUAUGUAGGCAGUGUGGCAAAGAUUUGCUGCAGUAUUUCCCUUUUGCAAACAUAAGAUUCCUCUCACAUUGGGGAGUAACUGCAUGUAAGGAAGAUUUGGUAAAGUUCAGCUGACAGCUGCUAACCUUCUGAGUGAUGUCAUACUGUGUCCCGAGAUUAUGUAUGCAAUGUGGGAAAUCAUUCAGUAUACAUGGUUAUUGUCAAAAGUGUGAAAGUAAUCCUAGUUAAGUAAAAUCAUACAUAUGUAAGGGACUAUUUUGAAAAUAAUUUCAAAAUACUCAUGUAGAGGAGAAAUGCCAAAAUAUUAUAAAAUAAUUUCUGUCAAUAUAUGUUCAUUCAUUUUUGAAGACAACCUGAACAGAAUUAUCCUAAAAUAUUUUUGUCUUUUUUUAUAAAUUAUACAUAAAUAUUUUAUUUGCCUGUAGUCUUAA